UUGAAAGGGAAACGAUUGAAGUCAGUCGUACCAGCGGGAAAUCAACCUUUCGAGUGGUGUUUUGGAGUUUUGAAGUGUGUCAAAACCUUUGAGAUUUUAAAAUUUUCGCUCUUUUGGUGUACUUUCUCGUGGGUAGGUUAACAUCGAUUUCGAUCAUCAUAAAAGGAUUGGAGGAAUGUAGCUUCGAUCUUGUAUUGAAGUGUUAUAGCCUUUGGUAAAUGUGAUGAUUAGGAUCGAGGAUUGCAACGAAUACCCUUUUGGGCUAUCCGCCUGAUCUCUGAUACGUGGCCUUGGCAUCGAAAGCUUGCUUAUGGUAUCAAGGUAUUACGGUCAAAAGGUUAGAACGGAUUACAUUCGUUAAGGAUGUUGACGUA
rnacentral:rRNA from 1 species